rnacentral:rRNA from 1 species
AUUGAACGCUGGCGGCAGGCCUAACACAUGCAAGUCGAACGGUAACAGGAAGCAGCUUGCUGCUUCGCUGACGAGUGGCGGACGGGUGAGUCAUGUCUGGGAAACUGCCUGAUGGAGGGGGAUAACUACUGGAAACGGUAGCUACUACCGCAUAACGUCGCAAGACCAAAGAGGGGGACCUUAGGGCCUCUUGCCAUCGGAUGUGCCCAGGUGGGAUUAGCUAGUAGGUGGGGUAACGGCUCACCUAGGCGACGAUCCCUAGCUGGUCUGAGAGGAUGACCAGCCACACUGGAACUGAGACACGGUCCAGACGCCUACGGGAGGCAGCAGUGGGGAAUAUUGCACAAUGGGCGCAAGCCUGAUGCAGCCAUGCCGCGUGUAUGAAGAAGGCCUUCGGGUUGUAAAGUACUUUCAGCGGGGAGGAAGGGAGUAAAGUUAAUACCUUUGCUCAUUGACGUUACCCGCAGAAGAAGCACCGGCUAACUCCGUG